rnacentral:rRNA from 1 species
GAGUAACGCGUGGGAACGUGCCCUUUGGUUCGGAACAACACAGGGAAACUUGUGCUAAUACCGAAUGUGCCCUUCGGGGGAAAGAUUUAUCGCCAUUGGAGCGGCCCGCGUUGGAUUAGGUAGUUGGUGGGGUAAAGGCCCACCAAGCCGACGAUCCAUAGCUGGUCUGAGAGGAUGAUCAGCCACACUGGGACUGAGACACGGCCCAGACUCCUACGGGAGGCAGCAGUAGGGAAUCUUGCGCAAUGGGCGAAAGCCUGACGCAGCCAUGCCGCGUGAAUGAUGAAGGUCUUAGGAUUGUAAAAUUCUUUCACCGGGGAAGAUAAUGACGGUACCCGGAGAAGAAGCCCCGGCUAACUUCGUGCCAGCAGCCGCGGUAAUACGAAGGGGGCUAGCGUUGCUCGGAAUUACUGGGCGUAAAGGGCGCGUAGGCGGAUAGUUUAGUCAGAGGUGAAAGCCCAGGGCUCAACCUUGGAACUGCCUUUGAUACUGGCUAUCUUGAGUUCGGGAGAGGUGAGUGGAAUGCCGAGUGUAGAGGUGAAAUUCGUAGCUAUUCGGCGGAACACNCAGUGGCGAAGGCGACUCACUGGCC